GAUGAACGCUGGCGGCGUGCCUAAUACAUGCAAGUCGAGCGAACGGACGAGAAGCUUGCUUCUCUGAUGUUAGCGGCGGACGGGUGAGUAACACGUGGAGAACCUACCUAUAAGACUGGGAUAAAUUCGGGAAACCGGAGCUAAUACCGGAUGAUAUUUUGAACCGCAUGGUUCAAGAGUGAAAGACGUUCUUGCUGUCACUUAUAGAUGGAUCCGCGCUGCAUUAGCUAGUUGGUAAGGUAACGGCUUACCAAGGCAACGAUGCAUAGCCGACCUGAGAGGGUGAUCGGCCACACUGGAACUGAGACACGGUCCAGACUCCUACGGGAGGCAGCAGUAGGGAAUCUUCCGCAAUGGGCGAAAGCCUGACGGAGCAACGCCGCGUGAGUGAUGAAGGUCUUCGGAUCGUAAAACUCUGUUAUUAGGGAAGAACAUAUGUGUAAGUAACUGUGCACAUCUUGACGGUACCUAAUCAGAAAGCCACGGCUAACUACGUG
rnacentral:rRNA from 1 species